CUUUCAAGUGACAUUUGGUAAAUAUCGCUGGAAAUGUUUCAGUACUUGAUGGUCUAAUUAUACGACUAUUAUGUGACUAUUUAAAGUACGAACAGUUACAAAUGAAGACACUAGCACUAGCGGUUCUCACAUUGAUCGUCGUUUGCUGUGCUGCUCAGCCGCAGCCGUCAACAAAGUGUCAAUACGACGAGCAAGUGUACACAGAGCGCUGGGGAGAUGGUGAUAAUUGUCGUACUUGUUAUUGUCAAGAAUACAACAAUGAGAUGAUUGAGCAAUGCUGGUCCCCUUGUGAUGAAGAGU
rnacentral:sRNA from 1 species